UUAGAGCUUUUUCCAGAGAAAGCUUGGAGCACCUGAAACAACGCAUUGAGCAGGUUAUCAUUGCACAAGCUUCUGUGCUGAGGUGCAACGCGAGUGUGAGCUUUCUUGAAGAAGUGAACCCUUUAUAUCCUCCAACUAUAAAUGAUGGUGACUUGCACGAGCAGUUUCGCGAUGUCGCGGUGAAUUUGCUCGGUGCUGAUAAGGUUCACUUUGACAUGCCGCUGGUCACAGCUUCUGAAGAUUUUGCCUUCUAUCAAGAGGCUCUUCCUGGCUACUUCUUUGUCCUUGGAAUGCAGAAGGAUCAUCGGACUGAUUCGCUGCACUCGUCGUAUCUCAUGAUCAAUGAAGAAGGGCUUCCUUAUGGAGCUGCACUUCAUGCAUCGUUAGCUGUUAACUAUCUUCAAAAAUAUCAGCAAGGGGAAGAGAAAAUAAAUGAAUGGUAACUGUUGUUAGACAUUAUAGACCCUUUUGGUUGCACGUUUCGUUUUUCAUUAAGUACGUUUAUGCCACUUUUUUUGUGAAGAAAAAAUGUUUUAGGACGUGAUAUCUAAUUUUUCCUUUUUCAUGUUUUUUGAUUAGUAAUCAGACGAGGCCUACAUAAUAAGUUCGGAUUUCCCCUUGGAAAAUGUUAUUCCUGUCCUGUCGUAAUCUAGUUCUUAAUUUUACACAUGAUUUCAAUGCACAUGACAAUAAUUCUUCAUUCGCACUUAUUUAUGUUCGUACAAAUUCACGAUCUUAAAUAUCAUUGCUUCACUUAAAAAGAAUUUAAGUUAUUAACAUGGGAUUUAAAAAACUCAUUAGAAAAUGAGCUGUUGAUCAAGAAUAUUGUUUUCUUCACACACUAAAGUUAAGACCAAAAUGAUAAUGAUAGAAAUAGAAAAUUAGAUUUAGUGUGAAUUAAUAAAACCCCUCAAUGAAACACUUAUGAGAUACAAACAAAUCUUAAAUAGUUAUAGGGGGAAGAGAAUGAAAGAGGAAGAGAAGAGAAGGGAGGGGGAAGGGUAGCUCACGUGGUGAACUUAGGAAAAAAAGAAGAGAAGGGAGGUCCCUUGUUUGAAAGUUUAAAAUUCCACAAAACCCCUAGAAACUUCACAAAAUAAAUAAAUGAAAGUUUUGUAAAAAAAAAUUCUCCAAACUUUUCCCUAUUUUUAAAAGGAUAAAUUUUAGUUCAGUCUAAUCUUUUAAAUGUAGGAAUUGAUUCCUGAAUCUUUUCCCUCCUCUCUUAUUACUUAUUAAGUCAUCAUUUGGAGAUCUAAUUGUACAAAAAAGAGUAAAAACUUUACACAUAAAAUGUGCCUAAAUUUUCUACUUUUAAACAACUAAACCUCCUAUUUUCCUAAACUGAAUUGAAUUGUGCCUAAGUUUUGGAAAUGUAUUUCAAAAUGUCAGGAAAAUUAACACACAUUUUCCUUCCCUCUGUAAAAUAACUUUGCCUACGGAGUGGGACCUGCCGCAAUCUUCUAUGAAAAGAAACUCACGACCCUUUCACUUUCACUCUGUACAUUCUGGUUACUCGCUGUUAACAAACCAUGGCUUCCUUCAAAUGCUUCCAUUUUUUCAUCAUCACUUUGCAAGUUUUUGCUGCAAUACCCAUUUUCUCAUUAGCAGAUUCCUCCUUCACACAAAAUCAGCUCUUCACAAAGUUCCUAGACACUGCCAAGAAACCUGAGCUUUUUGAUUGGAUGCUCACUAUCAGAAGGAAGAUACACCAGUUUCCUGAAUUGGCCUAUCAAGAAUUUCAAACCAGUGAAGUCAUAAGAGCAGAAUUGGAUAAGUUGGGGAUCCCCUAUAAACACCCUGUUGCAGAAACUGGUGUUAUUGGCUUCAUAGGGUCUGGAAAGUCACCUUUUGUUGCCUUAAGAGCUGAUAUAGAUGCUCUUCCCAUGCAAGUAGGUUUCAUAAAUUCUAUUUACCUUUUUUCUUGAUAAAGAUGGGUUGACUUUUUUUUUUCAGAAAUUUAGAAUCAGGGUUUUGACUUUUGAUUUCUGAAAUUUUUAUGGGUUGGUUCAGUUCUAGCUAUCUGGAGGUGAGAUAACAAAGAUUAUUGUUUUCUCUUUCCUCAAAUUUUAUUGACAUUUGACAAUGUUUUUAUAAACCAUAGGAAAUGGUGGAGUGGGAGCACAUGAGUCAAGUAGAUGGAAAGAUGCAUGCUUGUGGUCAUGAUGCUCAUACUACAAUGCUUCUUGGUGCUGCUAAGAUUCUCAAACAGCAUGAAAAUGAGAUUAAGGUGUGACCUUUUAUACUGCCUUCUCUGUUUCUAUUUUGAGUUUUUUUUUUAGAUACUACUCUUCCCACAUGUGGUCACUGGUCCCUACUGUCUGGUCCUUUUGAUGAUUUAUUUACCUUUUUCUCUAAAGAAAACUGCAUUUAUGUCAAACCUAAGUACCUUUUUGGUUUCUGUCAUUUCAGAAAAUUGAUGCCAAAUUAUUCCAUCAUGUAAAUUUGUUUUUUUGGUAAAUUACAAGCUUUCUGCCAUCUAUCAUGCACCUUAAUAAAUCUGUUCUGUCUAUUGUAAUACAAUCUUGAUCUUGAAGUUGCCCCCUUAACAUUUUGUUAUACCAGAACAAUCAUCAUCCUCCCAUGGAUCCUUGAUAAGUUGGUUACUUUGCUGUCUAAAUAGGGAACUGUUGUUCUUGUUUUCCAACCAGCAGAGGAAGGAGCUGCAGGGGCUAAGAAAAUUGUUGAAUCUGGAGCCUUGGAAAAUGUAUCUGCUAUCUUUGGAUUGCAUGUGCUACCUACGCUUCCAGUAGGUGAAGUGGCUUCUAGAUCUGGUCCUUUAAUGGCAGGGUCUGGUCGGUUUGAAGCAAUUAUCAAUGGAAAGGGAGGUCAUGCAGCUAUUCCUCAUACUGCUGUUGACCCGAUUUUGGCGGCUUCGAAUGUAGUUAUUAGCUUACAAUACCUUGUUUCUCGCGAGGCUGAUCCUUUGGACUCCCAGGUAAAUUUAGUUCAUUCUUAGUUUUCCAUUGUUUGCCAUGGCCACUCAUUUACUUGUUUAUGUCCAAAAUCCUCCUUGUCUUCUUCACAUAGGUUGUGACGGUUGCAAAGUUUCAAGCUGGGAGUGCAUUCAAUGUUAUUCCAGAUUAUGUCACAAUUGAUGGAACCUUUAGAGCUUUUACCACAGAAAGCUUGGAGUACCUGAGACACCGCAUUGAGCAGGUAUGUCAUGUAGAAGAAUAGAUUCAUUCUGCUAGCAUAAAUUGAUUUCUGAAAUUAAUGAUGAUCUUUUCUAUACUAUACAUCAUCACCAUACAACAAUCUUUUUUCUUUAUCUUUUUUCUCGUUGUUAAAUUAUCUGAUGGCUUGAAUAUGCAUGAUUUUGCCAAACUCAAUUGUUACGGAAAACUAUAAGUAAUGCUAUCUUUCACAGGAUCAACUAUAAGCUUUUAUGAGUUUAUGUUGCAACAAAAAAAAUGUUUACACUUGUACUGUAAUUUCACUGCAAUCUUGAUAGGGGCUAAGAAAUGGUACAUUUACACAGGUUAUCGUUGGACAAGCAGCUGUGCAGAGGUGCAAUGCAACUGUCAACUUCCAUGAUGAAGUGAAUCCUUCCUAUCCUCCAACUAUAAAUGAUGAUGGCUUGCACGAGCAGUUUCGAGAUGUUGCGGUGAAUUUGCUCGGUGCAGAUAAAGUUCACAUUGACAUGCCGCCAAUGACGGCUUCUGAAGACUUCUCAUACUAUCAAAAGGUCAUGUCUGGCUACUUCUUUUUUCUUGGGAUUCAGAAGGAUCACCGGCCUCAUUUUUUGCACUCACCGUAUCUCAUGAUCGAUGAAGAAGGUCUUCCUUAUGGAGCUGCACUUCAUGCCUCAUUAGCUAUUAAUUAUCUUCAAAAACAUCAGCAACAAGGACCAACGGGGGAAGGGAAAUUUCGUGAUGAGUUAUAGUUGUUAUUAACCAUUUUAAGCUUCCAGCCUUAAGGGAAUUAUAAGUUAGAAUUUCCACUUGGAAAAUGUUACUGCUAUCUUGAUGUAAUUCCUUUCUUCAUAGUACACGUAACUUCAACUUGAAUAACAAUAAAUUUUCAUUCACACCUAUUUAGGUACAAAUUUAACUGAUGAGCAAUGUGACAUUAGAUAGGAAUUUUGUGGAUUAUUAAAUCUAGCAGCUUAUGAGUUUGAUGUGUUUCAAUGACCAGGUAUAGUUGCCAACUUGGGUUGGCACAACCGAUUACCGGUUCAGGGUUUAACUCUCGUCUCCCCAUAGGUCGAGGAUUCAAAUCCCCCUGGAUUCAGUAAAAUCCUAGUUGGUGGGCAAUUCUCCUCGAAGAGAUCCCCCGGCGCUCCUACAUGGGAGUGGCCCUUUGUUGGCCUCCUCAGCAUGUCAUUGACGCCAUAUCCGAUAUCUGAAGGUAUUAUCUCUCCGUUCUAUCAUUCUUUGUAUAUAAAAAAAAAUAAAAAUAACAAGUUUACAAUUCUUAAAUUUCCUGUUGUUUUAUAUAUUGCUAGUCUAAGUAUAUUUUCUUUUUGAUAUUCCUUCAUAUUCUUUUGAGGCAGUUAAUAAUGUCAUUUCGUUCAACCAUUCUACUAAUAUUUCUCUUCUAUUUUUUACAGUCUAAAUUUAGUAUGUUUCUAUAUUUUACUACUAACCUCUUAUAUGGUGUUCUAUAUGGUUCUUUUUUAUAAUCAUAAUUACGUUAAAUUUCACUAAAAUUUCUUUUCUUAGUUGAAGUUUCUCCUUCUUCACACAAAUGGAGGUUUUGGAGCCAUAUAAUGAAUUGUCAUAACCAGAAUCACAAAACUGCAUAAUGGUUCACGUUCUUUCUAUCUUGGACAGAACCACAUAUUUGAUGGGAAAUAAGCAGGGGCUGGAACUUGUUGGAAUUGUGCCUUUUAAUUAGGGGCGGAGCCACAAGGGUGGCUUACCGGUGCUCCGCGCCCCCGAGUCUUUUCGAUAUUCAUUUCGAAACUAUGUAUAUUUUUCUUCUAGCACCGGUGAUAAUUAAUAUAAUUUUCAACGUAGAAUAGAUCAUGUAACGCACAAUGGCGUAGCGGUUUGCACAUGAAAGGAUUUUCUACAUGUCGUGGGUUCGAAUAAAUGAUAGGACUAGGAAUCGAACCUCCUACUCCUAGGCUAAAAGUUUCAUAGGCAUGUUUUCCACUAUGCUGGAAGAAGUUUAUCCUUAUAUUUGAAAAUUUUAUAUAUUUAUACACAAACAUAAUAUCAUAAUUGGACACUUUCUCAUCUCAAUUCAUUUACACAUAUUUUUUUUUGAAGAAUUUACUAACAACUAACCACUAACAUUUGCCUAUAAAAAAAUAUCAAAUCAUUUUGAUUAUUGUUUGAUAAAAUUAUGUUUAAUAUAAUGAAGUUUGAUAAAAUAAAGGAUAAAAAAUUAAAUUUGUAAGAUAUUAAUUAUACGUAAAAGUAAGUUCAAAAAUAAACAUUGUUUAGAUAAAAGAAAACAAAAUUAAUUUUUUAUUUGAUAUUUAGUCACCCCGGUGUCAAAAUCCUGGCUCCGCCCCUGCUUUUAAUGUUUUGUUUAGUUUCUGUUGGGUAGCUCUAGUUUAUCCUGUAAUGAAUUUCUUGUACAAACUCCAUUGUAAUAUGGGUUAGGAAUCUCUUGUGCUUACUUAUAUUCAUUUGGCUUACAAAAGAAAAUACCAACUAGGUAGCCAUAUCUUGUUAGUUGCCCUCUCCGUGCACUGAUUAUUUCAUCUAGCGAAUAGACUUCUUCUCUUGAAAUUAAAACUACUAGGUGUAUGAGAAACCUAGGUCGUUACCUCCGCUAACAGUUACGACAAUGAUUCCCAAAAUAUGCUUUGAAAUUUAUACUCAAACACAUAUCAAAAGACUCAGUCCUCAAAUUUCCAAUACUAGUCAAACUAUUUUAAAACAACAUUCUCACUCUCACAUCAUUCAAAAUUCAACAAUUGUAAGUAUAGACAUGCUCAAAAUCAAUUAAAUAAAAUUCAAAGCUUUGAAGAGAUUCGUGAAUGAUAAAACAAUACAAAAGCGACUGUAUUAGAGUAAAAAAUUAGCGUCAGACUUGACGCCGAUGUUAACUUUUUCUCUUUAGUGUCAGCUAAACUGACGUUAAACAUCAAUUUAAAAUUAUAUUCUACUUAAUGAUAGAGUCGUCCAAACUGACGACGCUACUUAGCGGCGACUCACCGACCAUUAACGCCGUUUAUAUCCACCGCUAAAAUCAACAACCAAUUUAGCGCCUUCCCGCCGUCCAUUAGGAGCGAUUCUUAACUGAUGCUAAAUUCAUCAGCCAACUUAGUGUCAGUUAUGACUAACACUAGCAUGAAGUGGAUCCGACCCAUCUCUUGGUCAUAUAAGUUAGUGUCACCUUUGCAUUUCGUUUGAUUGAGAAGAGAAAUAAAAAAGAGAGAAGAUGAAUAAAAAUAAAGUAGAUCUUUCAAAUUGUUUAGUGUGAUAUAAAGCGAAGAGAAAGAAUGUGGUGAAGAAAUGAGAAAUAAAAUAAAAAAAGAAUUUUUAUCUUAAAAAUAUUUAUGGCUGUCAAAAACACCAUUUACACCAUUUUUGUUCUAGCAUUUAUGACCUCAAGUAUAUGGUAAUUCUGAAAAGGACAAAAAAAGCUCUCUGUCCCUUCUCCUCCCAAAAUGGUAGUGAGAUCCAUCUUCCAACCUCCCCCUUCCCCCUCUCUUUCUCCCUCAUCAAACAAAGUUGCUUCUCUUUUCUAUUAUUAUGUAACUCUAUCAUCUUUCUCUCUUCACAAACUAACUUAUAGCGGAACCACCCCCAAGGUGUGAACGACCAUAUCCAUUUUUUUUAUAAGCUUUAUACAAGAUAUGGUUAGUCUCAUAUUGGUGUAUUGCAAAUGAGAGAAAACCCACUCCAAAGCUGACCCACCUAAUGUGAUGUUGUGACAUGGAAUGUUUUUUUAUGUUACAAGAGGAAAGAAUUGUGAGAUUGGAAUAUAAUGGCUUUAACUUUAAUGGGUGAUGAUUGUAUUUAGAAAUAGAAAAACAAAAUCUAGAGAUGUCCUGUAGGGUUGGGACCUACCGCACUACUAUUCUAUUGAAACCUUUCUGGCCUGUCACUGUAGUGGUCAUUCCGGUUUCUGACUUUAUUCUUCAUUUCAUUCAUUCUCUCCUACUUCCACACCAAAAUUAACAAGCCAUGGCUUUCUUCAAAGGCUUCCAUUUUUUCAUCAUCAUUUUGCAAGUCUUUGCUGCAAUAUCCAUUUUCUCAUUAGCAGCUUCCUCCUUCACCCAAAAUAAGCUCUUCACAAACUUCCUAGACUAUGCUAAGAAGCCUGAGCUUUUUGAUUGGAUGCUCACAGUCAGAAGGAAGAUACAUCAGUUUCCUGAAUUGGCCUAUCAAGAAUUUCAAACCAGUGAAGUAAUAAGAGGGGAAUUGGAUAAGUUGGGGAUCCCCUAUAAACACCCUGUUGCAGAAACUGGUGUUAUUGGCUUCAUAGGGUCUGGAAAGCCACCUUUUGUUGCUUUAAGAGCUGAUAUAGAUGCUCUUCCUAUGCAGGUAGCUUUGAUAAAUUCUAUUUCUAUUUACCCUUUUCUUGAUAUAUAUGCUUCAAGUUGAAUCAGGGUUUUGACUUUGAUUUCUUGAAUUUUUUAUAGGUAAAAAAUAUUGUUUACCCUUUCCUCAAAUUUUAUUGACAUUUGAUAAUGUAUAAACCCCAGGAAAUGGUGGAGUGGGAGCACAUGAGUAAAGUACCUGGAAAGAUGCACGCUUGUGGUCAUGAUGCUCAUAUUACCAUGCUUCUUGGUGCUGCAAAGAUUCUCAAACAAGAAAAAGAGAUAAAAGUGUGACCUUUUAUACCGCCUUCUUUGUUUCCGAUAAAUUUCUGUAUGUUCUGUUUUAUUUUUCCUGCUCAUACUACUAUGUUUAUAUGUGUGCUGUUUUAUUUUUCCUCGGAUACUAACUGUCACUGACUCACUCACUGGUCCCUACUAUCAGGCCCUUUUGAUGAUUUCAUGCAUUUUCUCAUAAAAAGAAAAUAUUAUUGCAUAAUUACAACUUACAAGUCAGUCAAAGCCAAAUAUCUUUGAAAAAUUGAUGACAAAUUAUCCAUCUUGUCAUUUUUUCUUUGAAAAUCACAAACAUUAUGUAAUCUGUCAUACACCUUAUUUAAUCUGAUUUUUAAUCAUCCUACGUUCUUUUUAUUGUAAUACAAUCUAGAAUUAACGAAAGAAGUUGGCCCCCAUAUCAUUAGUGCUACUUUUUAUCUGAACUGUGUUAUUCUGCUCAUCUGCUGUCUUCAUCCUGUCAUGGACCCCUGAUAAGUUGGUUAUUUGCUGUCUAAACAGGGAACUGUUGUUCUAGUUUUCCAACCAGCAGAGGAAGGAGGUGCAGGGGCUAAGAAAAUUUUAGAUUCUGGAGCCUUGGAAAAUGUAUCUGCUAUCUUUGGAUUGCAUGUGUUACCUACGCUUCCAGUAGGUGAAGUUGGCUCCAGGUCUGGUCCUAUAAUGGCAGGAUCUGGUCGCUUUGAAGCAAAAAUAAGUGGAAGGGGAGGUCAUGCAGCUAUUCCUCAACAUUCUAUAGAUCCCAUAUUGGCAGCUUCUAAUGUAAUUAUUAGCUUACAACACCUUGUUUCUCGUGAGGCUGAUCCUUUGGACUCUCAGGUAAAUUUGGUUAAUUCUUCAUUUUCCCUUGUUUGUCAUGGUCACUCAUUACACUUACCUUUGUAUGAAAUUCUGAAUCCAUAACUAUGUAUGGACAUCAGAAAGCACAGGUACUAGGAAAAUAUUGGCACAGACCUUCACCUGCUUUAUCUACAUAAACUGACUUAUUAGAGCUUUUCAACUGUAGAUAUAAUUUGAUUCAACCUUGGUUCCAAGGAUCGUUGUUAUUUAAUAUGCUAAGAUUAAGAAUGCUACUGCAUUCCUUUUAAAAAACUAAGUGGUUAGCUAGGCUGCAAAGUUGAACCUGAUGGGCCUCCAUAUAGAGUUGAGAACCAUUCUGUUAUUUGCAAGUCCAAGCCAUUUAGUAAGUCCUGCUAAGUUUCUGGAUCACAAGGGAAUGGAUGUGGAAAAUAUGACCUGAGGGAGUGGGGGGAAGCUUUUAGUACCCCAGCUAGUGAAAAAGAUGAUAUAGAGGAACCCAAUUACAAAACAAACUUUUAGUGACAACUGAGGAAUAUGGGACCUUCAGUGUGUGUGUGUGUGUGAACUUUUUUAUAUGUGAUAUUUUAAAAAGAUGAAAUGCUUGUUUCCUAAAGGCUUGUUUAUGCAAAAAACAUCCUUGACUUCCUUACAUAAACUAUGCCCUGUAGGUUGUGACUGUUGCAAAGUUUCAAGGAGGUGGUGCAUUUAAUGUUAUUCCAGAUUAUGUCACAAUUGGUGGAACCUUCAGAGCUUUUUCCACAGAAAGCUUUGGGUACCUGAAACAGCGCAUUGAGCAGGUAUGCCAUGGAGAAGAAUAGAUUCAUAAACUGAAAUCUGAAAUUAUUGAUCUUUUCUAUAAUAAUCUUUAUUUUGGUUGUUAAACCUGAUGGCUUGGUUAUGAUUGUGUUAAACACCACAGAGGAUGUGACAUCAUGAAUAACUUGUUAGCUUACUAUACGUCAAACUUAACUUUUAUUUAUAAGUAACGCUAUAUUGCAUAGGAUCAACUAUAAGCUUAAAUAUUUGUAUAGGUAUAGUCAAGGAAAAUUGAGUGCAGCACUAUAAUAUCAUGAAUUUGUAUCUUAAUUAUUACUUCAUUCAGUCAUUAUUAGAUGAACUAAAUUUAUUAUAAUCAACUUGAAGUUUUGGUGCAUUAAAUUUUUUUUUUUUGACAAGAAUACUCUUACUUAGUUGAAGUUUCUCUCUAUUUCCACUCUCAAAUCUAACACAUUAAUGAUGAAUAGAAAUUAAGAAAAGUGGGUUAUGACUUAUGAGUAAUUUUGAAAAGUUGAUCUAAAUUGAGAACAAAUUUAAUGCUACCAACUACAUUUCUUAAGGUGUGUGACCGUGUAAGGUAGUUAUUUGGUUCAUAUAAUAAGGAGGGGGGUAUCAUAUAUAAAAUCAGGGCACUUAACUGAGAUUAGAAACAUAGCACACACAAACUACAGGAACUAUACUCUGAGGCAAUUUUUCUCUGGUGCAUCACGCAUAAAAGCCAAGCCAACUCAAAUGGGCCCAAAAUCUACUAGAUCUUUAUCCUUUUGUUGCCUUGUGUCCUGCUUGUUGCAAAUAGCAUGUUAACUUAUGGAAUGGAAAUACUACAUACAUUUACAUUUCUGAUCUUUCACUGCAAACUUGGUAGGGGCUAUAAGAAUAUUGGCUCAUUUAUGCAGGUUAUCAUUGGACAAGCUGCUGUGCAGAGGUGCAAUGCAACUGUCAACUUCUUUGGUGAAGUGUAUCCUCCCUAUCCUCCAACCAUAAAUGAUGGUGGCUUGCAUGAGCAAUUUCGUUAUGUUGCGAUAAAUUUGCUCGGUAUUGAUAAAGCUCACAUUGACAUGCCACCGAUGACAGCUGCUGAAGACUUUUCGUUCUAUCAAAAGGUGAUGCCUGGCUACUUCUUUUUUCUUGGAAUGCAGAAGGAUCACCGGGAUCAUUUUUUGCACUCACCGUAUCUCAUGAUCGAUGAAGAAGGACUUCCUUAUGGAGCUGCACUUCAUGCAUCAUUAGCUAUUAAUUAUCUUCAAAAAUAUCACCAAGACAGACCCAUGGAAGAAGGGAAAAAUCGUGAUGAAUUAUAACUGUUUUUAAUCAUUGUAAGCUUCCAGCCUUGUAUUGUAUAUUAAGUUAGAAUUUCCACUCGUAGAACGAUAAUCUUUUGCUGUUAUCACUUUCUUCACUGGACACGUGAGUUCAACGUGAAUAAAUAGCUUUCUUUUCUCUAGUACUCUGAAAUUGAUUACUUCCUCUUUUUAUAUCUGUCAAUUUUUACAGUUUUGACACAUAUUACCAACAAGAUUAAUGUUCUUUAGAGUUGGCAGAACUGUGCUGUGCAUUCUCAUACCACAUUUGGAGGGUAAGGAAUAGGCUGUACUUUGAGGGAAAGGAGACCCCGAAAGUUGUUUAAGCUCAUCAACUCGGGCAAUAGGUGCGUUUCAGCUUUAUGGAAGUUUUGAUUUAUCAAGAUUUAUCUUUUGCCCAGAUGCUACCGCAUAGGUUUGUUGGAUAUUUAAGAUGGAUAUGCUUCUUGGAUUCUUUCCCUGCAAAAAUUAUGUUGUCAUAUGCCAAUAGCAAAUGUAAUACCACCGGAGCUCGUGGAGCUACUCGAAUGCCAUGAAUAGAUUUUGCCACUAUUGCCUCUUCUGGACUUCAAUUAAUCAUAAUUGAAAAGGAAACAAAAGUUACACAACCCAUAACUAGACUAAUCCAAGAUGGAGGAAAGCCAAAUUAAGUAAGGGUGCUUUCCAUAAAAUGUCAUUCAACGCAAUCGUAAGUUUUAAACAUGUCAAGCUUUAAAGCCAUAUGUAUUUCCUACAACCCGCCCCUUAUUUUUCUUUUUUAUAAAGUGAAAGCAUUCAAACUCUACUAAAACAUUAUCUAUAAUGAGCCUAUUAUUAGGUACAAAAACUCUUUGAUUUUCAAUAAUAGACGGUAAAAUAUUUUUCAUUCUAUUUUCUAUUACUUUUGUGACUAGUUUGAAAAGGACAUUACAAAAACUAGUGGGUUGAUGCUUGCUGAUAUAUGUGGAAUUUUUGACCUAUGGAAUGAGAACAAUGACUAUGACAUUGAUAAAAACCUAGAUCUUUUUCGCUAUUAUAAAUCUAAAACACAAAAUUUGUACCCCUCCUGUGUGCCUGGGUCGGACACAUUUGAUUCAAAGCUUCUGCAACUUAAGGUAUGUAUAUUGACAAGAAAGAAACAUGCUAUGGUCCAUUGUAAUUCUGUUUCUAACAAGAGUUGAAGGAUCAUCACCCAUCAUGGUAGGUGAAGUUGAACUGAAGAGUUCUAUAAAAUAUGAGUUGAUCACCUCAGCUAUCUCCUCUUCCACAAAAUUUGAAUUUUUAAAUACUUUACACCAAACUCGUUCCAUUAUUAAACCUAAAUUCUAACUAGUGCCUAACAAUACUAUUAAAUACCUAAUCAUACCUCCAACACAUUAUAUUUAAUAUCUAACCAGUCAUCACUCUUCUCUUCAUUUCAUUCUCUCUCAAACCAAAAGAAACCAUGUCUUUCUGCAAAUGCUUCCAUUUUUUCAUCAUCAUUUUGCAAGUCUUUGCUGCAAUAGCCAUUUUCUCAUUAGCAGAUUCCUCCCUCACCCAAAACCAGCUCUUCACCAACUUCCUAGACACUGCCAAGAAGCCUGAGUUUUUUGAUUGGAUGGUCAAAAUCAGAAGGAAGAUACAUCAGUUUCCGGAAUUGCGGUACGAAGAAUUUGAGACCAGUAAAGUUAUAAGAACAGAAUUGGAUAAGUUGGGGAUCCCCUAUAAACACCCAGUUGCAGUCACUGGUGUUAUUGGCUUCAUAGGGACUGGAAAGUCACCUUUUGUUGCUAUAAGAGCUGAUAUGGAUGCUCUUCCCAUACAGGUAGGUUAGAUUCAUAAAUUGUAUAUACUUUUUUUUCUUGAUAUAUAUGCAAUAUGCUUGAAGCAGGGUUGACUUUUGAUUUCUGAAACUUUUAUGGGAUAACAAGAGCAUUGUUAUUUUUUCCUUUGCUCAAAUUUUAUUGACAUUUGACAAUGUAAAAACCCUAGGAAUUGGUGGAGUGGGAGCACAUGAGUCAAGUACCUGGAAAGAUGCAUGCAUGUGGUCAUGAUGCUCAUACUACCAUGCUUCUUGGUGCUGCAAAGAUUCUCAAACAGCAUGAACAAGAGAUAAAUGUGUGACUUUUAUACUGCCUUCUCUGUUUCCAUUUUCUUUCUAUUGUUCUGUAUACUGUUAUAUAUGUUCUGCUUUAUUUUUUAUUCGUUACUACUCUUCCGACAUGUGGUCACUCGCUCACUGGUCCUUACUGUGUGGGCAUGGUUUCUUACGUUUUUUCUCAUAAAACAAAAUAAAAAUUUGUUGCAUAAAUUCAAUUAUGUCAAAGCCAAGUAGUAUCUCUUCAGUUUCUGUCAAAGAAACAAAUUGCUGCCAAAUCAUUCAAUCAUGCCAACUUUUUUUAUAGUAAAUCACAAGCAUUCUAUCAUCUGUCAUACACAUCCUUAAUUAAUCUUCUUAGAUUUUCUUUUGACUAAAAUUUAGGGUAAGAGUAUGGUAUCCCAAUCCAAGAUAGGAACCGGACUUAAACAACACCUAGAGUAUACUUACAUUUACCACACCUCAAGUGGCCAAGUGGGGGCUUGAGACCUGUCACAUAUGAGACAUUGUCAUGCUUCACUCAACCAAUCCUUUGGGUUUACCUUUUUAUAGUUUAUGUUAGACCUAACUCUACUCCAGAAGUUAGUUAAAGUGAAGUUGCUCAACCCUUUAUCAGAGUACUUUGGUCAUAUCUCUAUUAAACAUGUAACAUCUCAACAAAUCUCCUCUUUCUAUUGUAAUACAAUCUAGAAGACACUAAAGAAGUUGCCCAGCUUAUCAUUCUACUAUACCAGGACAUUCAUCCAUGUCUGCCACAGUGCUACUUUUUCUCUCAAUUGCCUUAUUCUGCUCUCUUCACCCUAUCAUGUAUCCUUGAUAAAUUGGUUAUGUGCUGUCUAAACAGGGAACUGUUGUUCUUGUUUUCCAACCAGGAGAGGAAGGAGGUGCAGGGGCUAAGAAAAUUUUAGAAUCUGGAGCCUUGAAAAAUGUUUCUGCUAUCUUUGGAUUGCAUGUGUUACCUACUCUUCCAGUAGGUGAAGUGGCCUCUAGGUCUGGUCCUAUGAUGGCAGGAAAUGGUCGCUUUGAAGCAAUAAUAAAUGGAAAGGGAGGUCAUGCAGCUAUUCCUCAUACUUCUAUUGACCCGGUUUUGGCAGCUUCCAAUGUAGUUAUUAGCUUACAAUACCUUGUUUCUCGGGAGGCUGAUCCUUUGGACUCCCAGGUAAUUUUGGUUAAUUCUUCAUGUCCCCUUGUUUGCCAUGGUCACUCAUUUAAACUUAUUUUUGUAUGAUAUUCUGAACCCAUAACUAUGUAUGGAUAUCAGAAAGAACAAGUAAUAGGAAAAUAUUGGCAGAGCCUUAUGGAUAACAUUCAUCUGCUUCAUUCUGCCUAAAAUGACUUAUUAGCACUUUUUAACAGUAGAGGUAAUCUGAUACAGCCUUGUUUCUAAGAAUAUUACUACAUUCCAUUCAACAAACCAAGUGGUUAGCUGCCAGUGUUUUAAAUUGCGGUAGUGGUAGAGCAUCCAUGGUCCAUAUAGAGUGAGAACCAUUCUGUUAUUUGCAAGUCCAAACCUUUAUUAAUCCUUCUAAGUUUAUGGAUCACAAGGGAAAGGAUGGGAAAAAUGAGCUAAGAGUGGCGAGAAGCUUUUAGUAUACCAUCAGUGAAAAAGAUGAGAAAGAGAAAUCCAAUUACAAAACAAACUUUUACUGAUAACUGAGGAGUAUGGGAGCUAGACCCUUAGUGUGUGUGUGUGUGUGUGUGUGAACACUUACAUAUGUCAUAAUUAUUAUAUGUGAUAAUUCCUGAUUACUUAAAAACUUAAAGGCUUGUUUAUAACCAAAAUUCUCCUUGUCUUCCUUACAUUUUAUAGGUUGUGACGGUUGCAAAGUUUCAAGGAGGUGGUGCACUCAAUGUUAUUCCAGAUUAUGUCAUAAUUGGUGGAACCUUCAGAUCUUUUUCCACAGAAAGCUUGGAGUACCUGAGACAGCGCGUUGAGCAGGUAUGUCAUGGAGAGGAAUAGAUUCCUUCUACAUGCAUAAACUGAAAUUAAUGGUCUUUUCUAUAAUAUACACCAUCACCUUGCAAUAAUCUGUCCUUUUGUUCUCUAAUUUAUUUUGGUUGUUAAACCUGAUGGCUUGGUUAUGAUUGUGUUAAGCACUAUAGAGGAUGUGACAUCUAGAUUAAUUGGUUAUCUUUGAUAGGAUCAACUACAAGCUUCAUAUAGGGGUAGUCAAAGAAAACUUUGAGUGCCGCACUAAUAUCAUGUUUUUGUAUCUGAUUACUCUCAUGCAAAAAAUCUGGGAAUUUAUAACUGAGAGUAGAAGCAUAGCAUACACAAGCUACCGGAACUAUAUUCUGAGGCAAGGGCAGAACCAGAAAAAGUUGGAAGGGGAGGAAAUUUAACACGAUAAUGAUGAAUUAAAAGAGGCCACAGAAAAUAUUUUAGGGAGACAAAUAACGUUUGAAGACUAUUAAAUGAUUUCGUUCUCUUGGUAGGGGCUAAGGAUGGUUCAUUUACGCAGGUUAUCGUUGGACAAGCUGCUGUGCAGAGGUGCAAUGCAACUGUCAACUUCCUUGAUGAAGCGAGUCCUUCCUAUCCUCCAACUAUAAAUGAUGGUGGUUUGCACGAGCAGUUUCGUGAUGUUGCAGAGAAUUUGCUUGGCGCCAAUAAAGUCCACUUUGACAAGCCACCGGUCACGGCUUCUGAAGACUUUUCAUUCUAUCAAAAGGUGAUACCUGGCUACUUCUUUUUUCUUGGAAUGCAGAAGGCCUCAAAUGAUCACCGGGCUCACUUUGUGCACUCACCCUAUCUCGUGAUCAAUGAAGAAGGACUUCCUUAUGGGGCCGCACUUCACGCAUCACUAGCUGUUAAUUAUCUUGAAAAAUAUCUGCAAGAUGGACCCAUGGCGGAAGGGAAAUAUCGCGAUGAAUUAUAGAUGUUAUUAAUCAUUACAAACUUCCAGCCUAAGUUAGAAUUUCCACUUGUAUGAGUAUGAUAAUCUCUUGCUGUAAUCUUUCUUUUAUAAAAUAUUUUGAUAAUGUGAAUCACUUACUUAACUGGUUACUUCUCACUAACUAUAAUCUAUUUGUGCUGUUUAAUUUUCCGAAGCUCAUAUCAUAGAAAAAUGUUACUUUUUUUAUGAAUGUAUAAAGUAGACUCCAUUUCUUUUAUGUCUUAUGUGUUGGGUUAUAUAUUCCAAUUCUUUAAACUUCUAAAUUCUUGGCAGACGUUUUAGGAGCUUCAUUGUGCUAUUUACACUUGACAAAGCUUGGUUUAUUAAUCUGUUAAUUAGAUAAAUCCAUUUUAUCUGAAGUAUAAAGUACUUGAUAAUAUUUAUUUUGCUAGUAGUUUCUCUGUAUUCAGUUCCCGCAGACUUAAAGAACUAUAAGUGUGCUAAAUUAGAAGAAAUAAGUAGGAGUAUUUUGCAGUUUGUGGUGGUUACAACACCAGUAAAAUUUGAGUAUGAGUAUUGCUAAUACCUAAUGGUUUUUGUGGUGGUUAAUCAGGCCGUUUCAAACUGCCAGUACCGCCAUUCAACCAGUGGCGGUUGGUCAAAACUGCUGCAAAUUGAUCACCUGAGGCUGCUUUCUCCCAACCGCUGCAGUAUAUAUUUGCGGCGAGUGAAACCACCGCCGCAAGAUUUUUAUUAGUCUUUUCUAAUUUGCAGGUUUCAUUGAAGUGACGUGGCUGUUUCUUGUGUGGACUUAUUCCCCUUGCACAAACAUUUUCUUGACAAUAUGAUCGGCCAUAUUGAAGAUUUGUGUUGUGAGAAACAUAUUAAAUCCUUGGCAUAAUCUAAUGGUGGACGAAUCUGCACGAGCCAUUUUACCGUGAGUAUUCAACGCAUAAAUGUUGAUGUUGGGCGCACAUAUGACAAGACUGGAUGCACAUAUGCGCUCAUGUGUCACGUGAAGCAUCCCCAAUAUGAAAUUAGCUAGAACUUGUGCUACAAGCCUAGCAAGACUCGUAUGAAAUAUUAUAUUUGAAUAGCUCAACUGACCAAACUAUUAUCCGAUUAGUAAGAUCCAACUUAUAGAUUACCUGUCUAAUGGGUUAAUCCGUGUGAACCAUAAUCUUGCGGGUUUGAAUAUACUGCCUCAAUCUCCUUGCAAUUACAAUUAGGGUGAAAACUAUUUUUCUCAAUUUUUGAUAUAUGAUUUUUUGACCUUGCAACAUUUUGCUUACAAAGUAGACCACAGCCUUUUCCCCUCAUGAAUUUCUCAAAUUAGCAUGACAUUUACCGUCUCCUCAUUGAUCCCUAGGUAGAUGAUGCUUGGCCAGAAUUGAUGCUAACCCGGAUAACUUGCUUUUCCCUAUCAGCCUGCGGCGGCCUGCCUGUCACACUUUGAUGACUUUUUUACCUGGGUAGUGUAAAUUUGGAGUUUAUUUACCAAUCUAGUGCAACUUUUAAAAUAUUUACGAGACUAGCGUAAAUCGUCACUAGCAUCGGCGAUAUAUUUUUUUUUCUUCUCAGCUUUUGGAGAAAUCGCCAAUGGGACUGACGAUAUUCAAUUUUUUGUGGUAUCGUCAAUGCGGUUGGCGUUAAUAUUAUAUAUAUAUAUAUAAUAUAUAUUAAAAAAAAGAGUAUCGCCAUCAUGAGUGGCGAUUUUAAUCUUUUAUAAACAAUUUUUUUUGUUUUAAGCAACAACGCCAACACCAUUGGCGACUUCUUUUUAUUUUCAAUACUAAAAACAUAAAUAUAAUAGCCCUGAUUGCAUGCAUGGAUGUUUUUUUUUCUUACAUGCAUCCAUUUAAUAUAUAUUUAGGUUUUAAAACUAUUAAGUAUUAACUACGUCAAGGUGGAAAAAAAAACAGAAGGAAGCGAAUCCUAUAAGCAUUAAUGGUUUAAAAUUAAAAAUAACACCAACACUAACUGCGACACUUAAAGAAAAUAUAUAUAUAAUAUUUGGUUAACGCCAAUCUCAACGGCGAUACUAGAAAAAUAUAUAUAUGUCGCCACGGCUGUUGUCGAUUUAACUCAAAUGAAAAAUAUGAAAAAUAUAUAUAUAUAUAUAUAUAUAUAUAUAUAUCGCCGAUGCUAGUGGCGAUUUACACUACAUCCGUAAAUAUUUUAAAAGUUACACUAGAUUGGUAAAUAAACUCCAAAUUUACACUACUCAAGUAAAAAAGUCCACUUUGAUGAAGAAAAUUGCUUCGCCAGCUAACCGGGAUCACUGUGUCACGUAACGUGAGUGUAGUCUUUUUCUACUUUUAGUUUUUGUUUUCUUCUUUCCCCCUUCACAUAAUCUGACAUAUAACCAGUUGUUUUUAAUGCUUCCCACAUGUCGUUUUUUUUUGGUAGAUACAUGUCGUUGAACUUGAUAGCGCUCUGAGAAGUUGUUUUUUUAUGUCUAAAUUACUAAUAUUUAAAUUAAGGAAGUACAUGCGUGUAACACAUGGGUUUAAAAUACAAAAGUUCUGAUUUUUGAGUGCGUGUAAUUUUGAUGAGUUUAGACCGUCAAUCCACUAGAAUUUAAAGAUGCAUCACAUCAUAUCAAUCAAAUAAAUUAUUUUUGGCCUAAUUUUUUCAAAAUUCCCAAGGGCAACUUAUUAUUUUUUCAAACUCUUGAAAAAAACGUAGUAUUUAAUUUGACCAGCUUGUUUUUUUUUUAAGUUUUCGCAGCGUUUGGUUGAGAGUUUGAAAAUAAAUUCGAAGGAAUGAUAUAUUUUUUGAAAAGAGAUUUAUUUAUUUCUUUAAAAAAUAGAGAUUUAUUUAUUUAUUAGCCUAUGUGACAGGUCUUCUUAACAAAUGAAGCUCAUUUUCAUCUUAAGAACUAGUGGAAUUACCCGUGCCCUGCACGGGUGACUUUUGUUAUUUACAAUUUAAAUUUCAUGUAAUAUUAUGUUUUGUAUCUUUUUAGUAAAUAUACUUUAACAAUUGUUUCAACUAUAUGUUAUUAAUAGUGAUAAUUGUGUAUUAAUCUACCACAAUUUUUACUUAUUUAAAUAUGAAAAAAAUUAAAUAUUUUAAAUUAUAAGACUUAAAUUCACUCAAAUUUUUAUAUAUGCAUUAAAUCAGUAUUUUAAUUUUUUAAUACAUGUUUAAUUAUUAAUAUUUGAUUGAUUAUUUUCAAUAUCAAUGUUUCUAUUUAUAAUUGCAAUAACACUAAUAAUAAUAUAUAUAUUUUGAUUCAAAAUGUUUGGUGAAUGUGCAUUUCCUUAAGGGAUUUCACCUAGACUUCUGGCCCGGGUUCGAUCUCCUCUAAGGUAAAAUAUAAUACAUUUGUGGUUAGGGACAUCACUACCGUAUCCCGAGCCAGAUUACUCACGUUGGGCCCUUUUCCCCCGUGGUGACUGGUGGGCUUCUCUUAUUUUUGAAUAAACUCUCAUGUGACUAUUACUUUUAAGUUUGAACCCGUUCCCCUUUUUUGUCUUUGGCUCUUCGAUCGUACCUUUGGUAACCACCGCCUACCAGGGACGAUGGAGGAAAAAUUCAUUUUAUCAAUCCAAGCAGAUAAAUUGAAGGAUUUUCGUCUUUCCCCUUCAUGAUUUAAAAAAGUGGUGAAACAAUAUAUGAUGGUAAAUAAAAAAUGGAUGAAUAAGUAAUUAAUAGGAUCAUGAAAUAGGGGCUUCAUAACCGAACCAAACCAAUUAAAACCGCUCAAAUCGAUCAAAAAAACCAAAAACUGAAAAAACUGAAAACCGCAAAAAUCAAUAUUUUGCUAAUGGAUCGGAUUGGUUUUCAGUUCCAAUGUUCUAAAUUGAGCCGAUCCAAACCAAACCGAAAGUAUUUAUUUAUUUAAAUUUUGACAUACAUAAUUAGCCAUUUAACAAAACUUAUAAUAUUUUAUUCCAUGUAUACCCAAGCCUUUACAGUAAUGUGUUUAACAUUUUCCAAGUUAGGAGACAUAUGUCUUCUUUUCAUUCAGCGAAAGUGAAACAUAUCAUUGCGUACAUAAUUCAUUUCUUACAGUAUUGAUGUUAGUGUUAAGCAUGAUAUCUUGUCUCUGUAACUUUUACAGUGCUUCUUGUUUUAUGAUUUUAUUUUCUAUUUCGUUAUGUAUUUCAUGAUUUUUAGUUUCUUUGAAAAACUGAAAUCCAAUCCAAUCCAAACUGAUAAAAAUUGGAUCAGAUUUGAAAAAAAAAAGAUUGGGUGAUUAAAUUAUAAAACCGAAACGAUCGGAUCAGAUGAUUUUUUCCUUUAAAACCAAAUCGCGAUCACCCCUAUCAUGAAACAUGAAAUAAAUCAUUUUACACAACAAAUAAAAAUGAGUGAAUAAGAGGAUAAUGUAACCAAUAAUAAACUUAUAAUAUUGCGAAUUUGCGAUCAUAUAGUGGUGGGGGAGAAUUAAAAAAUAAAAAAUGGAAAUAAAACUCUGAAAACAUUAAAUCAAAAUAAGAUAAACACAAUGCCACAAAGAACGUGUGAAAGAGAAUGUUAUAGAUUAAAGAAAUAAUGUGAGAAAUGUCUCAAAAGAGAAAAUGAAUUCUCUAACCAAUGCACAUGUAUAGCAAAAUUAAUUAUUUUUGCAUUAAGAUAAAAUUAAAGCAUUACCUUGCACAUGAUUGAUAAAUUAUUUUUCUCUAUAGUUGUUUUAAAUGAAAGAAAAAUUGAAGGUGAAAGUUCCUUAACAUGAAAUUGAAUAAAGAAUUGAGAAACAGAAAAAUGAAAGGGAGGAAAGAGAGGAGUAUGAAAAAUAUGGAAGAAAGUUGAAAAUACUUACCAUGGAGUAGACGAACGGAGAAAAAAACAGGAUGGGCUUUUUUCAUAAGAAAUUUCAAAGAUGGGAGGAAGAAGUAUAAGAUGAAUAGGAAAUGGAGGAAAAUGAAAGUCCUUGCCUUGUUUUCGAGGAGGUAUGCACAAAAGGAUGCUGAAAUAUUUUGAUUUAUUAAUGUUUAAUUUUUUCCUAAAAUAAAAUACUCAUUAUUGGUCAAUGAAAAAUUAAUCAGAAAUUAAACAUAUCAACAAAAUUAUUUGUAUUAAAUGUUCUAAGGAUUCAUUAAUUAAAUUAUAUCAAAAUGUUAUAGAUUAAAUAAAUAAUGUGAGAAAUGUCUCAAAAGAGCAAAUGAAUUCUCUAACCAAUGCACAUGUAUAGCAAAAUUAAUUAUUUUUGCAUUAAGAUAAAAUUAAAGUAUUAUCUAGCACAUGAUUGAUAAAUUAUUUUUCUCUAUAAUUGUUUCAAAUGAAAGAAAAAUUGAAGGUGAAAGUUGCUUAACAUGAAAUUGAAUAAAGAAUUGAGAAACAGAAAAAUGAAAGGGAGGAAAGAGAGGAGUAUGAAAAAUAUGGAAGAAAGUUGAAAAUACUUACCAUGGAGCGGAGAGAAAAACAUGAUGAGUUUUUUUCAUAAGAAAUUCCAAAGAUGGGAGGAAGAAGUAUAAGUUGAAUAGGAAAUGGAGGAAAAUGAAAGUCCUCACCUUGUUUUCGAGGAGGUAUGCACAAAAUGAUGCUGAAAUAUUUUGAUUUAUUUAUGCUUAAUUUUUUCCGAAAAUAAAAUAUUCAUUAUCGGUCCAGGAAAAAUUAAUCAUAAACUAAACAUAUCAACAAAAUUAUUUGUAUUAAUGUUCUAAGGAUUCAUUAAUUAAAUUAUAUCAAUUUAAUUUCGAAAAUGUGGAAUAUUUCAUUUUAAAAAUUCAAUUCUUUAAUUAAUCUUGUCUAAUUUAAUUAAAUUUUUUUCGUUAUUUCUUACAAAUUAUUUCAUUGUUCCAAUAAAUUAUCAAUUCUUGAGCAUCAAGGUUUUUAAAAAUUGAAUUUCAAAAGACAAUUAAUUAAACUCAUUAAUUUUAGGAAUUAAUUAGAGCCAUUAAUUUCAAUUAUAAGAAAUAAAAAUUGUAGUAUCUAAAAUAGGAAUAUUUGUUCAAUUGCAAAAUUUUCGAAAAAUUCAAAAUAAAAAUAAAUGAUGCUGAAAGUUUUAAAAAAUAUAUUUAUUUUAGUUUCAAAAAUUUAUUUGCCAAGGAAAUUUGAAUUUCAAAAAAAAAUUUAAUUUAUCUUUUAAAAUCAUUUUAACCAUGAUAUUACAGAAAAACAAAUAAAUUAAUUUUAGAAAAAUAAAAAUUAAAAGAUCCAAUAUUUAUUUCUAUUUGAAAUAAUUACGAAUAUUUAUUAUAAUUAUUUAGCAUAUUAUUAAUUAAAAUAAAAGGAUUCGAAGUAUUUUUAUGAAUCGUAUAUAUCUUAAAAAAGAAUUUAAGGGAAAAUAAAAAUUGAAUUUUUUUAAUUAGAAUUGAUUAUUUUCAAAAAGUUUAAAUCUAAUAAUGAAUUUUUAAUAAUGAAUGAAAUGAAAUAGUUUAGAGAUGUUCAUGUAUUGUAUAAUGUUUUCGAAAAUAUGGAGGGGCAGAAAAUAAUAUUAUUUGGAAUUUAUAUCCUUACUUUGAUAGUUUUUAUAAGUAUUAAUUAUGUUUUAUUCUUAAAAAAUAUUUUACCUAUAUUAAACUUAGCAAUUAAUGUGACAAAAAAAAGUGGAAAUAUAUAUAUUUUUGUUUUGGAAGGAAAAUGAAUUACUUAUGAGACAUGUGGCACAGGUCUUCUAGAAGAAAACCUUCUUUUCAUAUAUAUAUAUAUAUAUAUAUUGAAAAAUUAAAAUAACAUUUACGUUGAAAAUUAAAUUAAUUUUAUUUACUGAUUUUUUAUUAUUUUUGUUCUAUUUUCGAAUUCAAUUUGUUUUAUUAUAUUAGAUAUAUUUUCAAAUAAAAUUCCUAGUGAAGGUUACAUAAAAAAUUGAAAUUAAAAAUCAAUAUUAUAUAUUGAAAAUCUGUACUUUCGUAACACAUGAAAAAUUAAAAUAAUAAUUACGUUGAAAAUUAAAUUAAAUAGUAUUUUUUCCGAUUUGAGAUUAUUUUUGUUUUAUUUUCGAAUUUAAUUUUUUUUCUUAUCAUAUUUGAUCUGUUUUCAAAUAUAAUUCGAAGUAAAGGUUAUAUAAAAAAUCGAAAUUAAAUAUUAAAUAUUAAAAAAUUAAAACAUUAAUUGCAGUGAUAAUUAAAUUAAAAAGGAUUUAGAAUAUUUUUGAACUUCUAAAUAAAGGUUACAUAAAAAUUGGAAUUACAUUAAAUGAUAUUAAAUAGUGUGAGUCAUGAUAGUGUGUUGUGACAAAAAAGUAGAAUGAGUUUUUUUUUCUUGGAGGGAAAUUGGAAGAAUUUGGGGGUGACAUGUGGCAUAGGCUUCUAGAAGGAAACAUUAUUUUCAUAUAUAUAUAUAGAUUGGGGGUUUGAAUUACGUUGAAAAAAGAAAGAAUUGAUUUUAUAUUUGUAUGUUUUUAUUUGAUUGGUGGGGUGUUAAUCAGUAUAGUAAGUGAAUAAUUAUGAACUGGACGCCGGCGCGAUGGCAGCGGCCGGUGAGACAAGCGGGGAAUAAUUAUGAACUGGGUCAAGGUUGGCGGCAGCCUUAUUAUUCAUGGGGAACCAACAUUGACCGAUGGCAUAACAAUCAAACAGAUAAGGGAGGAUUUCGAGCAAGACAGUGGCAACAUGAAGGUGGCAGAUCAGAGAGGUACAAGUCGAAAUGGAAACAGACAUUGUAUGAGAACAAGGGUGAUCCAAGGACCACACAUCCAGGGCACGAAUCUGAGCAACAAAACAGCGAACCCGUAAACAAUGCAUCACAACGAUUCAAGCCACAACAUAUAUCCUUUUCAGUUUUUGUGGAUGGCCUGGGAGACAGGAUGACGUAUCAGAAAUUGCAGACCACUUUUGCGAAGGCUGGGAAACUCCAUUCUGUAUUCAUUCAGCAGAAGAAGAAAUAUCAUCGACGCUUUCGUUUUGGCUUCUUGCGAUUCAACAGCGACGAUGAGGCAUGGAAGGCGAUUCAGAUGUUCCAUGGUCAGAGAUUAGAUGGAAAUUACCUUGUGGUCCAGAAAGCAAAUAUACAACGCCCGCCACGAUCGCCUGGGGUGCCUUCAUCAGGAAAUAAUAAGGUUGAAACCAAAAGGAAAAUUUGGAGACCGAAAGCAAAGCAACAUGACACAGUUCAAGAGCCUCUCCAAAUAAAUAAGGAUGUUUCUGGGCAGAUGCAAGGUGCUGUUAAGCAACCUACUGAAUGUCAGCUGCGUCUUGUUGGCGCUGAUUUAGAUGUAGAAUGGGUCAAUAGGUGUGCAAAGGCACGCACUCUGCUGUCUAUGCCUGUGGAAAUUUUACAGGAGCAAUUCAGGCAAAUUGGUUUGUUUAAUUUUCGACUGAUUCCAUUGGGUGCAGAUGCAGUUAUUCUGGAAUUUGAAACUAAGGAAGACAUGGAGGAGACAAUUGCAGAGUGCAGUUUCUUUUUAGAGCAGAAGUUAUACGAUGUACAGCCUUGUACUGUGCUUUCAUUUGGCGUGGCUCAGCUUGUAUGGAUUCGUAUGUGGCAGGUUCCGUUGGGAUUAUGGACUGAAUCCUUUUUCACCUCUGUUGGGAACAGGCUAGGGACAUAUGUAAUGUCUGAUACUGCCACUCUGUUACACCACAGAGCUGACUUUGCACGAAUUUUGGUUCGGAUGCAUCAUCCAAUUUUGCACAGUUUUACCAUGGCGGUUGAUGUUAAUGGUACAACCUGUAUUGUUUUGGUUGAGAAGGACCCGACAGUAUAUGAUUAUGGGGUUGUAGAAGCUAUGCCAUCGACACCGGUCAAAAUCUACAACUCAGAGGAUGAAGAAUGCAAUGAUGAAAGCAGCAUGGAUGAGAAGGAACGGGAAGCAGAUAUGGUUUUCACUGGUGCAUCAAAACCUGAUGCAAAUGACUAUGAAUCAGUGGUUGAUGUAGGGACCGAUGAAGAGGAUGAAGCAUUCAGGGAUGGUGCUGCAGAGGGUUUGCAGGUUUGGGUGGAGGAGCAUGUCCAAGCGCAGCCAAUUGUUUGUGUGGAGGAGCGCAAUUCCUUGACGGCGGAGGGAGAGGUGCCGCAGAUUCAAGGAUUUUCAAAUUCAAACAGCAAGGCAAAAAUUCAAACGGAGACAGCUACUAUUUCACGUGAGAAGCGUGAGGAACAGUUACAGGUGCUGGUUGAAUCAAGAUACACGUUACAGGAGAUUAAUAUGUGGAGAAAUAAUUUAAAAACAGAAGAUAUCUGUUUAAAUGCUAGCCAAAUCUUAGCUAAUUCGGUUCAAAAUAAGGAGAAGGGAUUUUCAGUUACAGGAUAUUCCUUUGAUACUCAAGAUUUGAACCAGAAAUUAGUUUUUGAUUGUUCUCUUAAUUCUUUAAAGCGGGACCCGUGUGUGUUUACUCAAAUUAAAAGGGUUGAGCCAUGUUUGCCUUUCAUGACAACUAAAGAAAACGGGUUUUAUGGCCUAGCAGCAACUUCUGCAAAUUCUCCAGCUUCUGAGGCACGUGGAAUAACUGAUAUCUUUGUACGUAAAACACCUCAUCAGAUAAUCAGGCAGCGAGCAAAUCCUCAAGCAACAGCACGCCUUGCUUCUUCUCCUCAAACGCACUCUCCACCGUGCUUCCCCAUCACGCAUCAGGUUGGUCCAUUUGCUGUUAACGCCUCUGUGACUCCGAUACAGGCAGAAACACCAACAACAAAUUCCUCCAAAAAGAGUUCUCAGCGGGGACGUCCAAAGGGGAGUAAAAAUAAACCGAUAGCUCUCCCAGUUGAUUUCUUAGAGCCAGUGCAGGGUGAAGACGGGGUGACAACUCGAGCUCAGAGAACCUGGUUACUUGGUAAACAAUUGGGGCUGAAACCGCGAGGAUCAGAAGCUUUGAUGCUUCGUGGUUUAGAGGCUCAGAUUCGUCAAAAUCAUCCCCAUCUCAUUUAAUAUGUCGGGGUCGUGGUUGACUUGGAACGUUCGUGGGCUUGGAGAUAGAACAAAAAGAGAGGCAGUCAAAAAGGCAGUGAUGCAAUUGAAACCAGAACUUGUGUUGUUACAGGAGACUAAAUUAAAUGAACAAAGGCAGCGUACAUUAGCUUCUUGGUCUCAAAGCUUGAAUAUGCAGCAUGCUGAAUCUUCCUCUGUUGGCUCAGCGGGGGGACUGAUGUGUUUGUGGCGGGAGAGUUAUCUGCAGGUCUUGUCAGUGGCAGUUGAAACAUGGUUUAUUCUUAUGACUGUGAAACUUCCUAAUCUUGAUAAUACAGUAUUGGUAGGAAAUGUCUAUGGCCCUCAUUCCGAGGCGGAACACAGAUAAUGUUUUGAGGCUCUUAUGCAACGUGUUAUGCGCCAUGGUGGUUUGGUGUGUCUUGGAGGUGAUUUUAAUGUAGUUCUGCUUGGAUCUGAACGGUCUUCAAGAGGUGUUUUAGAUGCGGGAGAUUUAUCCUUCCAACAGUUUGUGCAGGAUAGUAACUUACUGGAUUUGCCUCUGACCAAUGGAGAGUAUACUUGGUUCUCAAGCCGCAAUGAGGGGCUGUGUCUCGCCUGGAUCGUUGGCUGUUGUCUGAAGAGGUUAUGAGAAACGUUUUGGGGCUGCUGCAUAUUUUUCCAGCUGCUGUUUUGCUGAGAUAUCGAAAUUUGCUAAUUGCUGUUAGGAGCUUGCUGUUUUUAUUGUUGAUGUAUGCUGGUGCUGAUGUUAAUUUUGUCGUUGAUGUUGCUGCUGUUGAUGAUAUCGCUGUUGUUGUCGUUGCUGUUUGCUGCUGAUGUUAUUGCUGUCUUAGUUGCUGUUGCUGAUUUCUGUUUUGCUGCUGCUAUUACUGGUAUUUCUGUUGCUGUCGUUGCUAUGUUGUUGCUGCUGUUGCUGUCAUGUUUUCUCUGCUGUCGUAGAUAUCUAUUCUGCUGCUGUUGUUGCUGAUAUUGCUGUUGCUGUCGUUGCUAUGUUGUUGCUGACGGUGCUAUCCUAUCAUUGAUGUUUUUCCUUGCUGUCUUGCUGAUGCAAACCGCUCCUGUUUGGUUUAUGUGAUUUUGCUGUUUGGUUUUGGAGUUUGUUUUAUUGAUGACUAUUUCAAGUCUGCUACUCUGCAAAGGAAUAUCUACAGCGUCAGCAUUAAAUUCGAGCUUGUUAAUUAGUUUUGGUUUAGUUGCAGUUUGGUUUUCCCAUGUUGGUGGUACUCUUUUUCCUUGUUAGGUUUUUAUCCCAUUGGGUUUUUCCUAGCAAGGUUUUAAUGAGGCUCCUUCUUGGGAUUCUGUUAUAUGCCAUUCUGUGGGUUGGUGGUGGGUUUGUGCACUUUCAAUUUGCACCUUUGCUAUUGUAAUGAUCUUUCUUGGACAUCUUGUACUUCCUUCAAUCUUGGGUCAUAUUUUAGGCUCAGGCUUUAUUAUUAAUAAUAUACAUUUCGCUUUCAAAAAAAAAAAGUAAGUGAAUGAUUUUACUUUUUAAGGAUUUUAUUAUUUUAAUAGUUUUUUCAAUUUUCAAAUAAUUUUUUUUAUUUUAUAAUAGGACUUAUAUUUUGGUUUUCUAUUAAAAUAUUAAAUAAUAAAAAAAUAUUUUAGUUAAAUAAGUUGAAACAAGUACUUUUUAAAACCCAUGUAUGAGAAUUAACGCUAAUACCCUACUCGGAGCCUGCACACUUGAAUGGUAUGUUUGGCUUGGAGAGAAAGGGAGAGGAAAGAAAAGUGGAAGGAAAGAAAGAAAGAGAAAUGAGAGGAUUUUUAAAGUUGUUUAGUUGGAGAGAAGGUGAAAAGAAAAGUGGAAGAAAAGAAAAAGUUGUACUUAUAAAAUAACAUAAAUAUCCUUAGAUAAAAAGAAAUACAAUAACUAACUAUUUUAUUAAAAAAAGUAUUUUUAUACCUGUAUUACGAUUUUAAGUUUAUUUUUAAUCUUUGCAAUAAAAAAGGUUGAUUUUAAUUUUUUUAAGUAAAAUAUUUUCGAACUAUAGAAUUUAAAAAAUGACGGAAAUCUAUUACUAUACAUAAACUAAUCAAAAUGAAAAAUAAUUGGUGAACACCUAAUAAUAACAAAUGCCCACACAACUCAUGGUUUGUGAGGGAUUAGAAACCGCCACAAAUUAGUUUUUAACCCUACAAACUAAGGGAGGGUCUUUGUGUGUUUACUAUUUGGGUGUUCAUGGUCAGGGCCGGCCCUGGGCCUGUGCAAGCAGGCCCACAGCCUAGGGCCUCCAAAAUGAGGGUGCCUCAAAAAAAAAAUUGAAUACCUUUUACAGUGUUUUUCUUUAAGAAAGCGCUGUAAAUAGUCCGUCUUUUACAGCACUUCGAACCGCUGUAUACUAUUUUACAGCGGCUAGAGGUCCGAAGCGCUGUAAAAAGCGUUUUUUAAGUUUAAUGUACCUAUUAAACUUUCUCCAAAAAAAAAUUUAGGGGUCCAUUUUUAUUAUUAACACAGGGCCUCCAAAAUGUCGGGACCGGCCCUAUUCAUGGUUAACUAAUCAUUUUUGAAUCAAAAUAAAUAAAAUUAUUUUUAGAAAGAAUAAAAUAAAAUUAUUGGAACAUAAGGCACACGUGUUUUUCAAUGUGUAGCUCCUUUUCUUUCCAUUUUGAGCGGAAGCAUUUUGGGGUGGGACCCACUUUAUUUUUUCUUUCUUUCCUAUUUUGUAAAAAAACAAAACAAUACAAAAUUGGAAAGAGGCCCGAAGAUAACUCCUAGCGGACACCGAAGAUAUGGAAUAUCUAACGAGGCCCGUAGAGUGGGACCUACCCCUCUUCUAUUUAAGAAAGUUGUUUGCCUUAAACUCUUCAUUGUGGUUUUUGAUUCCUUCACUUCAUUCUAUCUCACACCAAAAGAAACCAUGUCUUCCUUCAAAUGCUUCCAUUUCUUCAUCAUCAUUUUGCAAGUCUUUGCUGCAAUACCCAUUUUCUCACUAGCAGAUUCCUCCCUCACCCAAAAUCAGCUCUUCACCAGUUUCCUAGACACUGCCAAGAAACCUGAGCUUUUUGAUUGGAUGCUCACUAUCAGAAGGAAGAUACAUCAGUUUCCUGAAUUGCUCUAUGAAGAAUUUCAGACCAGUGAACUCAUAAGAACAGAAUUGGAUAAUUUGGGCAUCCCCUAUAAGCACCCAGUUGCAGUCACUGGUGUCAUUGGCUUCAUAGGGACUGGAAAUCCACCUUUUGUUGCCUUAAGAGCUGAUAUUGAUGCUCUUCCCAUGCAGGUAGAUUUUGAUACUUUUGAUUUCUGAAAUUUUCAUAGGAAAGAGUGUUGUUUUCUCUUCACUCAAAUUUUAUUGACGUUUGGUAAUGUAUAAACUUCAGGAAAUGGUGGAGUGGGAGCACAUGAGCCAAGUAGAUGGGAAGAUGCACUCAUGUGGUCAUGAUGCUCAUACUACAAUGGUUCUUGGUGCUGCAAAGAUUCUCAAACAGCAUGAAAAUGAGCUAAAAGUGUGACCUUAAUUUUAUACUGCCUUCUCUGUUUCCAUUUUCUUUUUUAAUAUUGUUAUGCUCCCUCCUCCGGUCAUUUUUAUAAGAAAAUUUUGAUAAAAUCACACAAACCAAGGAAACUAAUCUUUUUUAUAAAAUAAACUAUUAUGUUUAAUUUCAAUGAUGUAUUUUCCUUUUCACAAGAACAAUCAUACUAAUUAUCAUAAAUGUUGACAAUACCUAUUGGGUGCUUUUAAUUUCCAUCCAAAUUUUUUCAUGGGGAAUAAGUCUCUUUGCAUUGGAAUGAAUUAUUUGACUUAAUUUUAUAAGAGUGUUUCUUAUAAAAAGGACAAAAAAAAAUUACUAAAGUGUUUUUUAUAAAAAGGACCGGAGGGAGUAUGUGUUUAGCUUUAUUUAUCCAUCCUAAAAAAUAUAUAGCUUAACCAGUAAAAGCUAAGAUGUAAGUGGCGUGUAAUCGUGUAUAGACAUUUUGAAGCCUAAAACGAAAAUGUCGAAGUUAUUUUUUUAAUAAAUUACUAAUUUUUUAUAUUAAUCUCCACUUUCUAAAAAAUAAUAAACAAUAGAACCUUGAAUAAAACAAUGAGAAAUUUUGUAAUACUUUAAUAUUUUGUAUUUCGUUUGAUAAUUCACUUCAAGUUUGAAACAAUGAUUUUUUUUUAGAGAAGAAACAAUGAAUGAAGAACAAACUUGUACAAUAUAUAAAUAUAUAAGUCAUAAAAAAAAAUUAAUGGUUAUAAGUAAACACAAUUUUUUUCUCUCAAAUCUCGAUUGUAUAUAUCAUAUAUGUGUGUACUAAUUUAUUUUUUAGAAGCCUAAAACAACCGAGGGGCCUAAGACCAUUGUCUCACUUGUCUGAGGCCAUACACGACCCUGUGUAAGUGCAAAGACCAAUCCCUGCAAACAAAGGAUAAAACCCCUCCCCGGAAUAAAAAAGAAAAUCGGUGGUCUCUACUCUGGCCCUUUUGAAUUUUGAUGACUCUAAAAAAUAACAAAUAAAAAAUUAUUGCAUAUUUUCAAUUAUGUCAAAGUCCAAUAUCUCUUCGGUUUCUGUCCUAUAAGCAAAGUGCUGUCAAAUUAUUCCAUCAUGCCAUUUUGUUUUGGUAAAUUACAAUUAUUCUGUCAAAUUGCAUACACCUUAGUUAAUCCGUUUUAUCUGAAUUGUCUUAUGUAAUUUGCUGUCUUCAUUCUCUCAUCAUGGAUCCCUAACAAGCUAACAUUAACAAAUUCAUUACUUUGAUGUCUAAACAAACAGGGAACUGUUGUUCUUGUUUUCCAACCAGCAGAGGAAGGAGGGGCAGGGGCUAAGAGAAUUUUAGAUUCUGGAGCCUUGGAAAAUGUUUCUGCUAUCUUUGGAUUGCAUAUGGCACCUACACCUUUACUUCAAGUAGGUGAAGCGGCUUCCAGAUCUGGUCCUGUUAUGGCAGGAUCUGGUCACUUUGAAGCAAUAAUAAGUGGAAGGGGAGGUCAUGCAGCUAUUCCUCAUUCUACUAUAGACCCGGUGUUGGCGGCUUCCAGUGUGAUUAUUAGCUUACAACAACUUGUUUCUCGCGAGGCUGAUCCUUUGGACUCCGAGGUAAAUUUGGAGCAACUACCCUUUAUAAACACUUAUUAGUCAUAUCUCUAGUCAAUGUGAAACUUCUCAACAGAAGACUUCUUAGUUUACUUACAAUUUCCCCUGUCUUCCUUACAUAGGUUGUGACUGUUGCAACAUUUCAAGGAGGUGGUGCAUUCAAUGUUAUUCCAGAUUAUGUCACAAUUGGAGGAACUUUUAGAGCUUUUUCCAGAGAAAGCUUGGAGCACCUGAAACACCGGAUUGAGCAGGUUAUCAUUGGACAAGCUGCUGUGCAUAGGUGCAAUGCCACUGUGAACUUCUUUGAGGAAGUGAGUCCUUUAUAUCCUCCGACUAUAAAUGAUGCUGGAUUGCACGAGCAGUUUCGUGAUGUUGCGCUGAAUUUGCUUGGCGCCGAUAAAGUUCACUUUGACUUGCCUCCAGUCACGGCUUCUGAAGAUUUUUCAUUCUAUCAAGAGGUCAUGCCUGGCUACUUCUUUUUUCUUGGAAUGCAUAAGCCCUCAAAUGAUCCCCGGGCUCAUAUUUUGCACUCACCGCAUCUCUUUAUCAAUGAAGAAGGACUUCCUUAUGGGGCUGCACUUCAUGCAUCAUUAGCUGUCAAUUAUCUUCAAAAAUAUCAGCAAGACGGAUCCACAGUGGAAGGGAAAUAUCGUGAUGAAUUAUAAUUGUUAUUAAUCAUUAUAAGCUUCCAGUCUUAUAAAAUAAGUUAGAAUUUCCACUUGUAAGAGCAUCAUGAUCUCUUGUUGUAAUCCCUUUUAGGAGUGGGAGUAAGGUUGGAGCAUAUAACAUAGCUCUACUUGAGUUGUCAAACUAAAUAAAUAAAGCAGUCUGCGACUUUUUAAAUUGGGUUUCUAGUUAUAGGAAGUCCAACAUAUUCAAUCUAUCUCAAUCCUUACCUAUUAGCCUAUAAUAUUUCUCACAUGUGUUAUAGAUAUGUUUGUUUUAGUAUAUUGAAGCUUGUUAGCCUAUUGUCAGGGGCUUUGUACACAUAAGCAUUAUGAAACAUACCUUUAAAUAAGUUACCAUACCAUACUUUCAAGUCACACUUAAGCCUUAAAAUUCUGAAGCAGGUCAUGCCUAUUUAUGCAGAGCAUAGCAUGACCUAUCCUAUUUUCAAUGCUGAUUGUUUUGUAGCAGCCUCUUUUAGUUUUGAUGUUCCGAGUCGAUUUGUUUGGAUUUCUGAUUUCUUGACAUUACUGGAGCAUUGUGUUUUGUCAUGUCCUCUUUUAGUUUUGGUCUUCCAAUUGUAGAUUUGUUUGGAAUUCUGAUUUCCUAACAGUACUAAACCAUUGCGUUUAGCACUUUUUUGUUCGCAAAAUUAGUUUUGAUGUGAGCUUCAAGAGUUAAAGAUUAUUCAUGGUAGUUCCUACAUUAUGCUACAAGGCAGAGUGAAGUAUUUUAUUUAGUACUUCUGUGUUGGCAAAAUUAUUUUGUUUUCUCAUUGUUGCCUCAUUUUGGAUUCACCUCUUUCUCUGAUAUUUGCAUACUUUAUCUUCUCAUUGAACUGCACCAAAGACACUCUUUUAUGGACUUACUUAUAGCUACAUACAUGUUUAGUAAGAUAUGGCAGUGAGGAGUGCAUGUGGGCUGACAUAAGAGGGAGUAUAAGCAUGGGAAGUGGGCCCUGACUCUUCAGUACCAUAAUUGUACUGAAUAUUUUCUCCACAUUCUGAGACUUUCAUCAGGAUCCCCUAUUAUGCCCUGGCCUGUUCUGAGUCCAGCAAAGUUUAUAUAACUGGAGAUGGUCUGCUCUGCUCUCCAUCUUAACUAAUUAAAACUUAAAUCUAUUUUUUACGCUUAACUUGAAUUCAAAAGUGCCUCUUCUUGUAACAGAAAAAACUUAAAUUCUAAUGUGUACCUAUCAAUACUAUUAAAUUAUUUUCUUAUCUAUCUAUCUAUAUAUAUUAGAAAAGAACAACUUCUAGCAUGACGUGUCGCUCUCACAGGCCAAGUUAGUGACGUGUCGCUCCGAGAUUAAUUCUCACUUAAUUAUUUACACGUCAGCUUUUCCACCUAUUUAAUUAUUUACACGUCAGCUUUUCCACCUAUUAAUUUUCGGAUUUUUAAUUAAUUAAGGAUUUUAUGAGUUUUUAUUGUGAUUUGCUAGAUUUUGAUAGUUUUUAUCUAUAUUUAUUUAGUACCUUUUUAAAAUUUAGAUUUGAUUAGGAUUUAGGUUGUUUAUUUCUUGAUUUUAUCUUAAUUUAUCUUAUUAUUUAUUUUUAGAGUAUUAUUUAGCUUUUAUCUCUUUAAUGUGAUGAUUAAUGAACAUUUGCAAGAAGUUGUAUUUUCUUUUUCCAAAAAAAAUGUUUUGAAACGUCUGGAUUCCCCAAUUUUCUGCAAUCAUAAUGUUUAUGACUGUAUUUUUUUUAAUCAUGAUGCUCAGAAGAACUCUCUUCUUUAGAGCAAAGGAAAAUGAAGAGCAUUUGCACCUUGAACGAAUCAAGGAUAAGUCAAAACUUUUUCUUUUGGAGGAUGGUGCUAGCAAAGAUAGAAAACACAAUGUAAUGUUAAAAGCUAUUGAAGCUAUUGCUGGAGUCAGAGAAGAGGUGGCAAACUGUUUGAGAUGGUGAAACAUUCUUCCCAUUUUAUUGUUGGUAAAAAGAUUGGAGAACAUGUAAGGUUUUCUGCCCCUUUCAUACUUUCUGAUAUACUUUGCACCUAAAUUUUUGGUUUCAAGUGUGAAAAUGAAGAGCAUUCUAAUGUUUCUCUCUUUUCAGAAUCCUAAGUUUUGUUGUUAAUCCUAUUUAGAAAUCCAUUUACUCCAUCUUGGUCUAAUGCCCAUGGCUGCCGUAGCCAAGCCUCAGUAUUAAGAUACCUUUGGUGGAUGUAUGAGUAUUUAAUUGUUGCAAAUUUGAACAUUGACCUACUUAUCUUACCUCUUUCAUACAACUCUUUACAUAUCUAUUUGCUACUUUGAUUGUUAGGAGAGAUUUUUAACAUUCGAACAAUUUUGACAAUUGGUAUCUAAAGAAAGCUCUAUUAGUAUGACCUUUUUAUCUUCUUUUUGUCUUCUUCACAAGUUAACCAGAUAGAGAGGAUGAUGCAGAAACAAUAUUACACAAACGAAAAUCAGUGACUUAGAUAGAUAAGUGGCUUAGUUAGUUUAACUUUAGUCCCUCUGUAAUUAAGUGAUUAGGUUAGUUAUCAUUUAUGCUCACUAUCUAUCUGAUUCAUUUAUGAGGUAGUUAGUAUUAUAAAAACCUGUAGCAUUUCAGCAAUUGAGAACCUGUGUUUUGGUUUUCUUUCAUUUUUUAAUCUUAUUGUUUUGAAGAGUGAAACACCGAAAUGGUAUGGCAGUGAUACUGUUAAUGUGCUUAGGGAACGACAUUGAGAAAAAGUUUUAUGAUUCUGACUUCCAUAAGCUUAGGGGAUGGCAGUGGUCACUGUAGAUUAAAUUAGCUAUUGGUUAUUAGCCAUCAUUGAUUUUAUUCCCUGAUUAUGUCUCUGAUAGUAAUUGAAAAGUCAAAUUACUAUAAAUGUUUUAUGACCUACAUUACUCCAUACUUACACCACCCCCUGAUUUCUCCUUUUGGUCCUUCUCAUGAUCUAUCCCCCUGAUUUCUCCUUCUCAUAAUUGCACAUAACCUAAGUUAACUCCUUAAUACAAUUUAAAAAUGGCAAGGUAGAUGUCCAGAUAGGUUUCUCUUGGUGAACUUCUAUGCCACAAGAUGAUGGUUUCAAGGAACUGUGAUAAUCUUGCUUCUGUUUUUUAUAAAUACUUAUCUACAUGUAUUUGGUCAAGUCAUUGGACAAUGCAGAGUGUGUAAAAUUGCAGCAUGGUUUGUUUUUUUUUAUUAGAGCAAGUGCAUAAUGGUUGGUGAAAGUCAUGUAGAGAUUACCAUUUCUGUUCCGAAAACCCAAAGCUGUCGGAGCAACUUUUUAUGGUUGGAGGAGCUUACUAAGGUGACUUAUACUGAACAAACAUGGGAGGAGAAGGAUGUUUAUGGUAUUCCUUGAGAGAGCUUGAACAUAAAAGAGGUAUGAGAAGCAAGCCAUUGAGAGCAUGGUCCCUGCAAAUUCCCACUUUUUUUUGUAUUUAUUUGUCUGCAGACUGCUAUUAAUGCAAGGCAGGCCUUCCUCUUUUUACUAACCUGAAUGAUCUCAGUCAUAGAUGCUUGCAGAUACUCCACCAUUCCUUCUGUUUCAUUCUCAUUUAUUUUGAUCUCUAAUUUGUUGUGUUUGGUCAUUGAAAAGAAGUAAGAAUUUUUAAUUUCUUUAGUUUAUCUUUCAUGAAACUACUAUACAUCAUAUCAAUGACUAUAUUAGUUAAAUUUUUUCUUUUAGAAUGUUAACUCCAUAUGCCUUAUUGCUUGAUUAGUUUAUAUAGUUAAAGGAGCUAUAUAAUAAAAUAGGUUAAAGAAAUUAUAAGGUUAUUUAAUUUCUUAAACUUAUGCUCCUCUGUUAUUGAUACUAUGCCUUUUUACUUAAUUUAUUGAUUGAUAAUUAUAAGGUUAAAGGUAACAUCUACAUGUUGUGGUAUGAUUUUUUCUUCUAAAUAAUGCUAAUUAUGUACACUGGAGUUUAGUUUCUCUUUGUUUUGCCAUUUAGACUGCAUUUUUGUUUAUUUUUUGCUGUUGUUUUUUGUUUAUUUUUUAAUUUGCUUUUCUCUUUCUCUAACAAUGUGGUUUAAGGCAGCAUAGCUUCAUUUUUUACUUCUUUUAUGUCCUUUUUUUAUGUAGCUAUGUGUCAAGAUUUUCACUUUGAGGCCAACCUUUUAACUGCAACAGUGAAGCAUUUCACUUUGAGGCUAACCUUUUAGCUGCUGUUUAUGUCCUGUAAUAACUUUUAGAAGAAUAAAAUCAAAUCAUUGAAGCAUAUAUUUUAUGCCAAUAAAAUACACAGAUGAUUUAAACUGAUUGAUUAUUUCUAUUCCCUUUGGACUUGGGAGCAAAGCUCCAACUAUAUAAGUAGGGUUCAAGAAUUUGACUAUUGAAGUUGCGGCAAAGCUUUGCCAACCCUACCAAGUUCUUCAUUGAACAUUGUAGAAUCAGUCCUUGGUGCAUGUGGGAUUAGUACUUUAAAGAGAACAAAUCUCAUAAUUGUGAAUAAUGUCUCUGACAUUGUUAAAGCAGGAUGGUACUACAAACAGGUUAUCCAUAGACUGGAUGGAAUGGAACAACAUUUAGCAAUAGUUUUUUAUAGGUAUUUGACUAUUCUAUGCAGCUUUUCAUUUUAUAGCCCUUUUGGUUUUGGGCAGGAUGACCCUUUAGGGUGGUACAUAAACUUCAACUAGAUAUCGUGUAAAUUAAUGUCAAUGGAUGCUACAGGGGUGCUACUCAUGUUGGAUGGAAUGGAACAACAUUUAGCAAUAGUUUUUUAUAGGUUAUUUGAGUAUUCUAUGCAGCUUUUCAUUUUAUAGCCCUUUUGGUUUUGUGCAGGAUGGCCCUUUAGGGUGGUACAUAUUUUUAUAUAGGACGAAUAACAUAAAGUUCAGCUAGAUAUCAUGUAAAUUAAUGUCAAUGGAUGCUACAGGGGUGCUGCUCAUGUGUUUCAUGUUCACAACAAUUACUGCUUUGGAGCUUGCUUAAAAUAUGAUUGGCCUAAAAUAAUCAUUUUAUGUUUCCCUUCCUCUUCAUUUUUGCUAAGAAAAGUCCCUCUCAAGUCACAAUAAAAGUGAGUGAAAUUCAUCAAUUUUAGACUGCCUUUCAUUUGCUCUUUUUGUUUCAGGGGAUUUGACAGCUUAUGGUAAUUGAUUGGAAUAAUUGCUCUCUCGGACUAUUACUAAAAGAGAAAGGUACCAUGCUCUAGCUCUUUCUGUCUGUCAUCUUUUACUAUAUAUUAAUCACUCAUUAUCUUACCUGAUAUAUAAUGUUAACAGCGCGUCCUCUUUCAAUUCUUAAUUUGUUUAAUAACUUCUUUUGUUCAAUCCAUGGAGUAUGUAGACGUGUUCCCUUGCUAUGUUGAAUAUGUAUUUAUAUAGUGACAUGCCAAUCUAUUGAUUUAUUUCAAAAACUGUCCAUAGAGGUGGAUGCUGAGUUAGUUUCUUUAUUGCAAGAAAUCAGGAUUAGAAUGUGCUAGCAGCAGGUUACCUAUUUAAUCAGGAUUUAGAGAUCCUAUAUUUUCUGUUUUCUUCAAAAUAUCUGAAUUUUUAACAUAUGCCUAAGUUUUGGCUUCUUUACACUAUUCGUUGAUAUUCUGUGGUGAUUUUUCAGCAAAAGUAUAUUCUGAUUGGUUUUAAAUAAUCAUUUUAUGUUUCCCUUUCUCUUCAUUUUAGAUCAAAUAUGUAAGCGGCUCAUAUGAUUCUGGGAAUGUCUUCCUCUUAUUGAAUAAAGAGAUUUCAGAGCAUGAAUAUUUGAAAAUAGUAUAGAGUUCAUCGCUGAGACUUUUCUAUUGGUAACUUUGGUAACUCUUGCUUUUAAGUUUUGGUAAAUUUGCCCACACUUCAUAUUUUCAAAAUUGGAUUUGUGAAUAUUGUUGGAUUUGUCACUUAUUACAGAUUUCAAAUUUAUUUAUAAAUCCCGAUAAAUGCAGUAUUUUAUAUGCUUUGUGUUGUACCCUUUUAAGUUUUUGUGUAAAUGAUGGGUUGCUUGAUCCAAAUCUGGUGCCAAAAGAUGUCAAACUAGAAAUUCUAUCGAAUUAUAUUUUUAUGUCUUUAAAACCUUUUGUUUGUGCUACAUCUUUUUAUGCUAUAUGUUUUUGGUUUUUCUUGCACGGAUAAAACUAAAGUUAUAAAAAUAGUAAUUACUAAUCUGGUGUGAAUAUUUGAUUCAAGCUUUGAUUGAGAUUUAAGGCUUUGUUUUAUAACAGCUUUUGAGAAAUGAUUUAAUUGAGGCCAUGCCCUGUGAAAUGUGAUAUUUUACUUUUUUCAAAUAUCAAACUCUAGGUUUGCUUUUGGGUGAUAUUUAAGCUUAACUAACCACCUUAUUUCAAACUCUAGGAGGUAUGACUCAAUCUUUGUAGCAUUGGGGAAAAUUGGUCUGACAAUAAGUGUUUGGUGGAUUUUUCACCCAAGAGGAAGCUUUGCCAGUUUUCAAGAUUGACCAAGGGAGCUUCUUUAAACGGUCUUGAAGGUCUCCUCCUUGAGCCACCAAGAGAGGCUCUUAACAAUUCAAACAAGAACUUGAAGAUCAAGUACCUGCAGGUACUACUGAGCGCGACAUGCAUAUGUUGGCUUAAAAGGGCUCUUACCAUAAGAGUAGUUGAGAUAAACAUGACUCAUUUAUUUUAGAUAUGGCCAAGAACUUAGGAUUGAGCAAGCAUAUAUGAAUAUUACAAUUUGAGAUUUGUAGGACGAGAUGUUUGAAGGUUCUAUAUUUUAUUAUAUUGUUACCUUAAAUCACAUUAGAAGGUUUGACUUGCGUUGGGUUUCACUCGAAGUAAAGCAUAGAAAAAAGAACGUCAGGUAAGCAUACAGAGUAAAAUGCUAGAUACGAAGAGCAUACUCUAUGUUGUUGAAUUUCGUAGUUCUUGGACAUGGUGUUGGAAGGAGUAAACGUCUUCCACGAAGGGAUAUUUUAUAUGAAAAUGAUUGUGUUAAAAUUAAUAGAAAAAAAUUAAUAUAAUUAAUUUUAGUAUUUUUAAAAAAAUUUAAGAGGGUAUAUUUAUAUAUGUAUAUAACUAUAAUAGUUUGAUAGUUAAAAUAGUAUGAGGAAUAAAAAAUAUGAAUACAUAUGUACUAUAGAUUUAUGACCUAAAUUUAUUAGUGCUAACAUAUUCGAGUUAUGAGAUCUCACGGGAAGGAACAUUUUACAUGAUAAAUGAAAAAUGUGUACACAUAGUUAAAAAAACAUUUUUAUAUAACUUAAGUGUAUUUUUAAUAAUGUAAACAAUAAUUAUAUAUUUAUGUAUUGUUACAUAUCUAAAACACAAAAGCAAUACCCUUUAUGCAACACAAGUAUACAUCUUCGCAACCAAAAUUCAGUUUUUUAUUUAUUGUAAAUCAUGUCAAACAAAGCAUCAAAGGUUGUUGGCAUCACUUCCUUGCGGAUAAACUGGGGAUCAUGGCUUACAUGAGCACAGAGCACACCAAAGUGGAUUGGACACCACAUUUGUCACUCAAAACCUUAAGGCAAACAAAAUUCAGUUAUACCUCAUAUAUGCAAAACUUAAAUAUUUUGGCCUAAUAACUUUUGUGUUUUUCAAAAUCUUUAUAUUAGUCUAUUCAGUGUAUGCUUACAAAAUACUAGAAUUGAGUGUCUAAAUUUGUGCUCUUUAAAUAUCUACAUCUUUAUUAUGAUUGUUCUUACAUUCUUAGCAUUUUAAAUAUUUUAUAAUUUAAAAUAUUAAUCGAUGUAUCAAAUACAAUAGACAAAUUUCCCGUGCAACGCGCGGGUAAAAAACACUAGUUAAAAAUAAAUAAAUCAAUACUACUAAACAACUCAUAGUGCCUCCAACUCAUAAUUUUUGUAGGCUUAAUAACACUUUUGGUCCCUCACAUUUGCCAUAUGUGCGAAAAUCGUCCCCUAAGUAAGAAAAUAGCAAAAAUAAUCCCUCACUUUGUUAAACGACAACAUUUUCGGUCCCUCGUCACUAUUCCGUUUACUUUCAUUCAAAUUUUAACGAUUUUUAGAAAUAAAAAUAAAAAUAAAAAAUAAAAUAAUAAUGUAAACACAGAAAAAUAUCAAUAAUCAUCUUCUUCCAGCAUAAUCUGCAUCAAUUUCAUCUUUAUCUAAAAAUACUAGAAAAACUCUAUGCUUCUUUCCUCACCAUCUCUUAACACUGAAAAAACCCAAGAAAAGUUCCUCAGAAACCAUGGGUUCGACCAUCUCUCCAAAACAUCAUAAAUUUUAUGGGUUUUCAUUUUUUUUAUUUUUUUAUCAAUUUUAUUCAGAAAACUGUUAAAUAUUUGACAGAAAACGUUAGUUUAUUGACGGAACAGUGAUGAAGGACCAAAAGUGCUGCCGUUUGACAAAGUGAGGGACAUUUUUUGCUAUUUUCUUACUUAGGGGACGAUUUUCACACAUAGGACAAACGUGAGGGACCAAAAGUGCUAUUAAGCCAUUUUUGUAACAUCUCAUUUCCUAUGAUCUUUAAAAGAAACAUCUCAUUUCCUAUAGCAAAGCCAAUUUAUCUCGUACUCAUCUAAAAGUGGAAAGGUUUCAUACCCUUUAGGUUUAAUUUGCCAUGAUUUCUUCUAUAACAAAUUUUUAUAAUUUGCGACUUAGUUAUUUGUACUCUAAAUAAUGAACCGAAUGAUUCCAAACCCUCUCAUUUUGAAAGGGCGCACGAUCAAUGCCCCAUAUUUAAUAUCUACAACUGAACACUCUUCUUUUCCUGCUCUAACUCUUGUUAUUGCAAAAAAAACUAUUGUUAUUGCAGGUAUGUGCACGUAAGUGCCUCAAACAAUUUUCUAAAGCACAAAUUCUGUUAGAAAGCAUUGAAGAGGCGUGGCCCGUGGAGUGAACCUGCAUGCCGCUCUGUUCAAUUUAAGAAGGUUGUUUUCCUUCAUUUCAUUCUUCCCACACCAACAAAAACAAUGUCUUCCUUCAACCGCUUCCAUUUUUUCAUUAUCAUUUUGCAAGUCUUUGCUACAAUUCCCAUUCUCUCAUUAGCAGAUUCCAGCUCCCUCACCCCAAAUCAGCUCUUCACCAACUUCCUUGACACUGCCAAGAACCCUGAGCUUUUUGAUUGGAUGGUCACAAUCAGAAGGAAGAUACAUCAGUUUCCGGAGUUGGGCUAUGAAGAAUUUCAGACCAGUGAAGUGAUAAGAACAGAAUUGGAUAAGUUGGGGAUCCCCUAUAAACACCCUGUUGCAGUCACCGGUGUUAUUGGCUUCAUAGGGACUGGAAAUUCGCCUUUCGUCGCCUUAAGAGCUGAUAUGGAUGCUCUACGCAUGCCGGUAACUUUGAAAAGUUCUAUUUGAAUCAGGGUUGACUUUUGAUUUCAUUUGACAAUGUAUGUAUUAAACUGCAGGAAUUGGUUGAUUGGGAGUACAAGAGUCAAGUACCUGGAAAGAUGCACGCAUGUGGUCAUGACGCUCAUAUGACCAUGCUUCUUGGUGCUGCAAAUAUGCUGAAACAGCGCGAACAAGAGAUAAAUGUAUGACCACAAACAGUUUCUGAUAAAUUUCUGUAUACUGUUAUACUUAUAUAUGUUCUGCAUUGUUGUCUUAUUUUGUUGUUUUCAUCCUCUCAUGGAUCAUCACUUUGAUGUCUAAACAAACAGGGAACCAUUGUGCUUGUUUUCCAACCAGCAGAGGAAGGAGGUGCAGGGGCUAAGAAAAUUGUUGAAUCUGGAGCCUUGGAAAAUGUAUCUGCUAUCUUUGGAUUGCAUGUGCUACCAACGCUUCCAGUUGGUGAAGUGGCUUCUAGAUCUGGUCCUUUAAUGGCAGGGUCUGGUCGCUUUGAAGCAAUUAUCAAUGGAAAGGGAGGUCAUGCAGCUCUUCCUCAUACUGCUAUUGACCCGAUUUUGGCUGCUUCUAAUGUAGUUAUUAGCUUACAAUACCUAGUUUCCCGCGAGGCUGAUCCUUUGGAACCCCAGGUAAAUUAUGUUUAUUAAAAAGUCUCAUAUUGACUAGAGAUAUAGCUAAUAAGUGUUUAUGAAGUAUAAAACAACCCUCACCUAAGAGUUAGACCUACCGAAUUCUAAGAUUAUUUGCCAUGGCCACUCAUGAUUUACAUUUAUUUAGAAUCCUCCUUUGUCUUCCUUACAUAGGUUGUGACAGUUGCAAAGUUUGAAGGAGGUGGCACAUUCAAUGUUAUUCCAGAUUAUGUCAAAAUUGGAGGAACCUUCAGAGCUUUUUCCACAAAAAGCUUGGAGUACCUGAAACAGCGCAUUGAACAGGUUAUCAUUGCACAAGCUGCAGUGCAGAGAUGCAAUGCAACUGUGAGCUUCUUUGAGGAAGUGAGUCCUUCAUAUCCUCCCACUAUUAAUGAUGGUGACUUGCACGAAAAGUUUCGCGAUGUUGCAGAGAGUUUGCUUGGCGCUGAUAAAGUUCACCUCAACCUUCCACCAGUCACUGCUGCUGAAGACUUUUCAUUCUAUCAAAAGGUCAUACCUGGCUACUUCUUUUUACUUGGAAUGCAU
rnacentral:lncRNA from 1 species